rnacentral:lncRNA from 1 species
UGAUGGCAGAAAUGCAGUUGGAGGCAGGAAGGCAGACCAGGAAGAGGGCACAGCCUGGAUGAAAGCACAGAGGGCUCAGAUGGGCCUGGAGAGCACAGCACUGCACUGGGCCCAGGGAGAGCCUCAGGAGGAGGAGGACAUCCCAGGAACAUGGAACAGCUUGGGCUACCACUGCAGGGAUCAAGUGGGACUCUUCCCUGAUACUACACAGUCAUUCUCUCUGCUGGGGCCUGAGGCCAAUGAAACUCCCACUGGGGGAGGGGACAAUGUAUCUUCCAAGCUCAGGACACCAGGCUCAGCUCACAUUGAGGGUCAGGUGGCUGGGGUUCCCUGCUCUGAUCAUGGCCCACAUAGGGAGUGCUCACACACCUCAACGGGACACGAAAACACAAGCCCAAGCCACCAGAAGGAGCCCUGGCUGGCAGCGACUGGGACAAGCAAGAGGCAGAUGGUGGUUUUGGAUACAAUGUGUGGGCCAUGGGGAGAGCUGUGUGAAUGAAGCAUAUGGCUGCCCCUGGAUUGCCCAACCUGGACCCAGCUGGAAGCCCCAUUCGCUCUCCUGGAAGAUGCCUGACAUGAACAUCUGGCCACAUCUGCCCUCAAGAAACAGAAUCCUGAGGCUGGGGCUGUAGCUCAGUGCUAGAGCACUUGCCUUGCACGUGUGAGGUACUGGGUUCGAUCCUCAGCACCACAUAAAGAUACUGUACCAACUACAACUAAAAAUAUUAAAAAGAGAAAAAAGAGGGCUGGGGAUGUGGCUCAAGCGGCAGCGCGCUCGCCUGGCAUGCGUGCGGCCUGGGUUCGAUCCUCAGCACCACAUACAGACAAAGAUGUUGUGUCCGCCG